UCCUUCAUCAAAUAAUCAGUUAAAUAUUUGUACCUUUGGUCAUUUUAAUGCUCGGGCUCGUUUCUGGCUUGAUGUUCUUUUGAGGUGUAGUUCAACUUGGGGGGUGCACAAUGGACUGCAGCAAGGGGUCAUUGACCUAUUUGGUUUGGAAGUGUUUUGUCAAACUUAUUUGGAUUUUCAAUGCUACUUAUAGUUCUUCCCAACUUUGAUGAAUUUUUUAAAUAUUUGUACCUUUGGCCAUAUUAAUGCUCGGGCUCGAUGUUCUUUUGAGGUGUAGUUCAACUUGGGGCGUGCACAAUGGACUGCAGCAGGGGGUCAUUGACCUAUUUGGUUUGGAAGCAUUUUCUCAAACUUAUCUGGAUUUUCAAUGCUUCUCAUAGUUCUUCCCCACUUUGAUGAAUUUUGCAAUAUUGUGGUUCACAGGUUAGCAAGAGGUCUAACGAACGUUAUUGAUCGGUUUGAAUGAUACGAUAAGUUAUCAUAUUGAUCUAUUGCUUAAUAUUUGUUUUUCCGAUUAUUUAUCGUUGGUAUGUCUGUCAUGACUUGAUGUACUUCGGAUUGUUGAUUCGAUUUCUGCUGCUGCUUUUGGAUGUGUUUUGGUUGACUGACAUGGAUCAAUUUGAUAAUACGUGUUUGGUUAUCUUAA